AUGAACGCUAGCGGCAGGCUUAAUACAUGCAAGUUGAGGGGCAGCAUGAUAUACGCGAGUAUAUUGAUGGCGACCGGCGGACGGGUGAGUAAUAGGUAGGAGACCUACCUCAGUACAGGGGGAUAGCAUAGAGAAAUCUGUGGUAAUACCCCAUGAGGUUAUAUGAAUAGAGGCAUAUAAUCAAAGCAUAAGCGAUUAUGCGGUAUGAGAGGGGCCUACUGACCAUUAGCUAGUUGGUGAGGUAAGGGCUCACCAAGGCGAAGAUGGUUAGGGGUUUUGAGAGAGAGACCCCCCACAUUGGAACUGAGAGACGGUCCAGACUCCUACGGGAGGCAGCAGUAGGGAAUAUUGGGCAAUGGGCGAAAGCCUGACCCAGCCAUGCCGCGUGAAGGAAGACGGCCUUAUGGGUUGUAAACUUCUUUACUACGCGAAUAGAGGUUAGUACGAGAUACUAAUAGGAAGGUAGUGUAGUAAAAAGCACCGGCUAACUCCGUG
rnacentral:rRNA from 1 species